rnacentral:rRNA from 1 species
GUGAGGAAUAUUGGUCAAUGGGCGCAAGCCUGAACCAGCCAUCCCGCGUGCAGGAAGACGGCGCUAUGCGUUGUAAACUGCUUUUCCAGGGAGAGAAACUUGCGCACGUGUUGCGCAAUUGACGGUACCCUGGGAAUAAGCAUCGGCUAACUCCGUGCCAGCAGCCGCGGUAAUACGGAGGAUGCGAGCGUUAUCCGGAUUCAUUGGGUGUAAAGGGUGCGUAGGCGGACUAUUAAGUCAGUGGUGAAAGCCUGCAGCUUAACUGCAGAACUGCCAUUGAUACUGAUAGCCUUGAGUUUGGUUAAGGUAGGCGGAAUGUGUAAUGUAGCGGUGAAAUGCUUAGAUAUUACACAGAACACCAAUUGCGUAGGCAGCUUACUGAGCCGACACUGACGCUGAGGCACGAAAGCGUGGGGAUCGAACAGGAUUAGAAACCCGAGUAGUCC